AANGAANCUAMCAAGGAUUCCCCURGUAACGGCGAGUGAAGCGGGAAGAGCACAAAUUUAAAAUCUACCUGGUUUCCAGGUCGAGUUGUAAUUUGAAGAUACGUUUUUGACGUUCUGGGUUGGACUAAAUCCUUUGGGAUAAGGUAUCAUAGAGGGUGAGAAUCCCGUAUAUACCAACCGUAGGGAUGUUAUUAAAUACGUUUCUAAGAGUCGAGUUGUUUGGGAAUGCAGCUCUAAAUGGGUGGUAAAUUUCACCUAAUGCUAAAUAUAAGCGAGAGACCGAUAGCGAACAAGUACAGUGAUGGAAAGAUGAAAAGAACUUUGAAAAGAGAGUUAAAUAGUACGUGAAAUUGUUGAAAGGGAAACGAUUGAAGUCAGUCAUGCCGGUGGGAAUCAACUUAGGGGAAACUCUGGGUGCACUUCUUCGCUUGGCAGGUCAACGUCGAUUUUGAAUGUCAUAAAAUAAUUGGGGGAAGGUAGCUCCUUCGGGAGUGUUAUAGCCCUUGGUAGAUGUGAUGUUUGGGGUCGAGGAUUGCAACGGAUACCCUUCGGGGCUAGCCGCCUGAUCUCUAAUUGGUGUUGGGUUACGGAUAGCAUGCUGACCGUGAUCUAAUUACUGGUUAAAAGGUUANAGUGUGCAUAAAUUCNUUAAGGA
rnacentral:rRNA from 1 species